GUGGGGAAUAUUGGUCAAUGGUCGGAGGACUGAACCAGCCAAGUAGCGUGAGGGAAGGCGGCCCUACGGGUUGUAAACCUCUUUUGUUCGGGAAUAACAGGGUCCACUUGUGGUCCUCUGCAUGUACCGUUCGAAUAAGCAUCGGCUAAUUCCGUGCCAGCAGCCGCGGUAAUACGGAAGAUGCGAGCGUUAUCCGGAAUCAUUGGGUUUAAAGGGAGCGUAGGCGGCCUUUUGAGUCAGCGGUUAAAUGUCAGCGCCCAACGUUGGCGUGCCGUUGAUACUGGAGGGCUUGAGUUCACACAAGGAAGGUGGAAUUCGUCGUGUAGCGGUGAAAUGCUUAGAUAUGACGAGGAACCCCGAUUGCGAAGGCAUCCUUCUGGGGUGUUACUGACGCUGAGGCUCGAAAGCGCGGGUAUCAAACAGG
rnacentral:rRNA from 1 species